rnacentral:rRNA from 1 species
AUUGAACGCUGGCGGCAGGCCUAACACAUGCAAGUCGAACGGUAACAGGAAGCAGCUUGCUGCUUCGCUGACGAGUGGCGGACGGGUGAGUAAUGUCUGGGAAACUGCCUGAUGGAGGGGGAUAAUUACUGGAAACGGUAGCUAAUACCGCAUAACGUCGCAAGACCAAAGAGGGGGACCUUAGGGCCUCUUGCCAUCGGAUGUGCCCAGAUGGGAUUAGCUAGUAGGUGGGGUAACGGCUCACCUAGGCGACGAUCCCUAGCUGGUCUGAGAGGAUGACCAGCCACACUGGAACUGAGACACGGUCCAGACUCCUACGGGAGGCAGCAGUGGGGAAUAUUGCACAAUGGGCGCAAGCCUGAUGCAGCCAUGCCGCGUGUAUGAAGAAGGCCUUCGGGUUGUAAAGUACUUUCAGCGGGGAGGAAGGGAGUAAAGUUAAUACCUUUGCUCAUUGACGUUACCCGCAGAAGAAGCACCGGCUAACUCCGUG